UGGUUUCAUAGCUUCAAAACGGACAGAGAGCCACUGACUUCCUGUUCGCUGCUUCUCAUCUCUGUGAGUAUAAGACAUCUCGCUGACAGCCUACAAGGGGAAAAACAAAGCAGAUCAACCAUCUUAUCUUCAGCCCACCUGACAGCAUUGAAGGCAUGGAUAUAUGUUUUAUCCUGGAUGGUAUUCUCAUCCUAUAUGGCAUCAUCCUCACCGUGCUGUACUGCAGACUGAGGAUGCAUCCAUCCAGCAGCUCAUCUGGCAGUUACCCAGAGAAACAACCCGCUGGGGGAGGCAUCUAUGCGGGUCUGACCACCCAAAGUACUGACACCUACGAGACCAUCAGACUGGACAAAAAGCCCAUUGUCUGAAACAACACAGAUUUGGUUCAAUGAGGAUGCUGUUCACAAAAACACAGUGUUACACCUGUUGAAGCUUUAUACUGUAUAAUACGUUGUGUUGUCUUGUAGCGGGCCGGGGCAUAGACUUCCUAUAUGCACAUUUUUCACAUUUACUUUGUAAAAAAUGCUUCCUGUAUUCUUGAACUUUAUAGUGUGCAUGCAUGAGAUGUAAAAUUACUAAAUAAUUUAACUGUUUACUAAUAAAAGCUGUGUCGAUGAGUUUAAA